ACCGUCGUGCCAGAGUGGACAAUCGGAGAGGGCUCAUAUCCCUUGGCAUUUAUGUCUCGCAGGUUCGAAUCCUGCCGACGGUAC
rnacentral:tRNA from 1 species